GGAUUGUGGCUCAGUGGCAGAGCACUUGCCUCGCACGGGUGAGGCACUGGGUUCGAUCCUCAGCACCA
rnacentral:tRNA from 1 species